rnacentral:snRNA from 1 species
AGAACGACCUCCGCGGUGCUC